AAAGCCCAGCAGCUCCCACAACUUCCUUGGUCUUUGACACCGACGACGGCACCUUCCUUUCUCCAAUCAACGGAAUCCGGCAAAGAAUCGCCGACACGUGGAGUGUAGCGAUCACUAAUUUUACGCAACUUGUUCCUUCUAAUACCACUCAAAGCACCUAAAUACAUGGACCGGUACUCCUCAUUGGUAAGAUCAGCAAACCGGUUCAAUCCGACCCUGUAGGUCCGAUUCUCCGAGUUAUGCUCAUCAAUGAAUCUUAGAUUAUCUUUAAAAACCUCAAACCUCCUCUCCUUCUCUCCCAAAGAAUUAUACGCCUUUCCGUGCUUCACCAGCCAGUCCUCGUAGAUAGCCAUGACCUCGUCAUCGGUCCUCCAGCUGGACUUGGUACCAUGACUUUGAUCAUAGGAUAUGAUCGACAGGUCGGAGGCAGAGGACAAGGUGGAAGCGAAGAACAAGAGCAUGAACAUAGCUGCCGAUGAUCUGAACAGGGCCAUCUUGGUUGUUCCGGAGAGGUGGAUUGGUAAAGACCGGUUUGUGGGGGUUGUGGGAAGGGUAGUGGGUUUAUAAAGACAAUGUUGGGCUGUAUUGAUAAAAUCCAUGGGAGGAUUUGAUAAUUAAAUUAAGAUUUUUUUUUUAAUUUGGGAA
rnacentral:misc_RNA from 1 species